rnacentral:rRNA from 1 species
AUCCUGGCUCAGGAUGAACGCUAGCGGCAGGCUUAAUACAUGCAAGUCGAGGGGCAGCAUGACUGUAGCAAUACAGUUGAUGGCGACCGGCAAACGGGUGCGGAACACGUACAGAACCUUCCUUCGAGCGGGGAAUAGCCCAGAGAAAUUUGGAUUAAUACCCCAUAGUACAACGGAGUGGCAUCACUUUGUUGUUAAAGAUUUAUCACUUGAAGAUGGCUGUGCGGCUGAUUAGGUAGUUGGCGGGGUAACGGCCCACCAAGCCUGCGAUCAGUAACUGGUGUGAGAGCACGACCAGUCACACGGGCACUGAGACACGGGCCCGACUCCUACGGGAGGCAGCAGUAAGGAAUAUUGGUCAAUGGACGAAAGUCUGAACCAGCCAUGCCGCGUGGAGGAUGAAGGUCCUCUGGAUUGUAAACUUCUUUUAUAUGGGACGAAAAAAGGGUUUUCUAACUCGUCUGACGGUACCAUAUGAAUAAGCACCGGCUAACUCCGUG